ACCAACAGGGAUUGCCCUAGUAACGGCGAGUGAAGCGGCAACAGCUCAAAUUUGAAAUCUGGCCUUUGGGUCCGAGUUGUAAUUUGUAGAGGAUGCUUUUGGCGCGGUGCCUUCCGAGUUCCCUGGAACGGGACGCCUUAGAGGGUGAGAGCCCCGUACGGUUGGACACCAAGCCUCUGUAAAGCUCCUUCGACGAGUCGAGUAGUUUGGGAAUGCUGCUCUAAAUGGGAGGUAAAUUUCUUCUAAAGCUAAAUAUUGGCCAGAGACCGAUAGCGCACAAGUAGAGUGAUCGAAAGAUGAAAAGCACUUUGAAAAGAGGGUUAAAUAGCACGUGAAAUUGUUGAAAGGGAAGCGUUUGCGACCAGACUUUUUCUUAGCGGAUCAUCCGGUGUUCUCACCGGUGCACUUCGCUAGGUUAAGGCCAGCAUCGGUUUCUGUAGGGGGAUAAAAGCUUGGGGAAUGUAGCUCCCUCGGGAGUGUUAUAGCCUCUUGCAUAAUACCCUUACGGGGACCGAGGACCGCGCUUUUGCAAGGAUGCUGGCGUAAUGGUUGUCAACGACCCGUCUUGAAACACGGACCAAGGAGUCGAACAUUUGUGCGAGUGUUUGGGUGUUAAACCCUCACGCGUAAUGAAAGUGAACGGAGGUGAGAGCCCUUACGGGUGCAUCAUCGACCGAUCCUGAUGUCUUCGGAUGGAUUUGAGUAAGAGCAUAACUGUUCGGACCCGAAAGAUGGUGAACUAUGCGUGGAUAGGGUGAAGCCAGAGGAAACUCUGGUGGAGGCUCGCAGCGGUUCUGACGUGCAAAUCGAUCGUCAAAUCUGCGCAUGGGGGCGAAAGA
rnacentral:rRNA from 1 species